rnacentral:pre_miRNA from 12 species
UAUUUUCAAUCUAAAAUCUAGCUGACAGGUGCUCACUUGUCCUCCUCCAUGCUUAGAUAAGGGAGGAGGCCAUAGUGGCAACUGUCACCAGGAUUAAUUUUUUUGG